rnacentral:rRNA from 1 species
AGUGAACGCUGGCGGUAGGCCUAACACAUGCAAGUCGAACGGCAGGACAGUAAGAGCUUGCUCUUACGGGUGGCGAGUGGCGGACGGGUGAGGAAUACAUCGGAAUCUACUUUUUCGUGGGGGAUAACGUAGGGAAACUUACGCUAAUACCGCAUACGACCUACGGGUGAAAGCAGGGGAUCUUCGGACCUUGCGCGAUUGAAUGAGCCGAUGUCGGAUUAGCUAGUUGGCGGGGUAAAGGCCCACCAAGGCGACGAUCCGUAGCUGGUCUGAGAGGAUGAUCAGCCACACUGGAACUGGGACACGGUCCAGACUCCUACGGGAGGCAGCAGUGGGGAAUAUUGGACAAUGGGCGCAAGCCUGAUCCAGCCAUACCGCGUGGGUGAAGAAGGCCUUCGGGUUGUAAAGCCCUUUUGUUGGGAAAGAAAAGCAGCAGGUUAAUACCCCGCUGUUCUGACGGUACCCAAAGAAUAAGCACCGGCUAACUUCGUG